AAGCCACGUUAAUAAAAAAAUCAAUCAUUUGUAUUUCAAAUCAGUGCACUUUACUCAGACACAUCUCAUACAGAGAUUCCAAUAAAAAAUAACUUAGUGAAAACAUGUAUUGGAGGUUCAAAUGAUGCAACAAUAGCGAUUGUUAAGUCACCUUAAAUUCUUUUGAAACAAGAUAAAUGAGAAAUCAACCAACUAGCAAUUCAAGAAACAAGUGAAACAUAAAUAAGAAAGGACUUGCCCCAGCUACUGGAACUGCUGUCAGCAUUGGUGUCCAGUCGUCAACUUCUUCAGGGAAUGCCUCAGGACAGCCCAUAUCAAAUGACUGACUGCAGCGGAAGUGGGGGUGGGUACUGUGUUAAGGCACUGGUGAUAUGGAUACAUAAACACACAGUUUCAAAAGGCAGCAAUAAGAAACAGAUAAUUUCAAUAUGUGGUUUUCAUUUGGACUGUCCAGAGAGAAGAGAGAAUGGCAUCCAACCCAAUCAUAAGUGGAGAUGAAUGGAAAAGAUGUCCUGAGAAGGACUGAACUGAAGUUAAGGCAAAGGUCUGAGAGAGGACACUACAUGGAGAGGAAACAGCAUGAACAAACAGUCAUAAAACAAUGUGUGAAAACAAGUACUUCAGUAAUCCAAGAGCACUGUUAAACUGUGGGAAAAAAGAGGGGAAGAGAGAAUGUACUUCAAGAUCAUGCAAAAUAAACGUACAAACAUAAGACAACAAGUUUUAUUCCAUUCUUUC